rnacentral:rRNA from 1 species
UUAAGCGACUAAGCGUACACGGUGGAUGCCCUGGCAGUCAGAGGCGAUGAAGGACGUGCUAAUCUGCGAAAAGCGUCGGUAAGGUGAUAUGAACCGUUAUAACCGGCGAUACCCGAAUGGGGAAACCCAGUGUGUUUCGACACACUAUCAUGUCAUGAAUACAUAGUGGCAUGAGGCGAACCGGGGGAACUGAAACAUCUAAGUACCCCGAGGAAAAGAAAUCAACCGAGAUUCCCCCAGUAGCGGCGAGCGAACGGGGAGGAGCCCAGAGCCUGAAUCAGUGUGUGUGUUAGUGGAAGCGUCUGGAAAGGCGUGCGAUACAGGGUGACAGCCCCGUACACAAAAAUGCACAUAUUGUGAGCUCGAUGAGUAGGGCGGGACACGUGGUAUCCUGUCUGAAUAUGGGGGGACCAUCCUCCAAGGCUAAAUACUCCUGACUGACCGAUAGUGAACCAGUACCGUGAGGGAAAGGCGAAAAGAACCCCGGCGAGGGGAGUGAAAAAGAACCUGAAACCGUGUACGUACAAGCAGUGGGAGCCUCUUAAUGGGGUGACUGCGUACCUUUUGUAUAAUGGGUCAGCGACUUAUAUUCUGUAGCAAGGUUAACCGAAUAGGGGAGCCGAAGGGAAACCGAGUCUUAACUGGGCGUUAAGUUGCAGGGUAUAGACCCGAAACCCGGUGAUCUAGCCAUGGGCAGGUUGAAGGUUGGGUAACACUAACUGGAGGACCGAACCGACUAAUGUUGAAAAAUUAGCGGAUGACUUGUGGCUGGGGGUGAAAGGCCAAUCAAACCGGGAGAUAGCUGGUUCUCCCCGAAAGCUAUUUAGGUAGCGCCUCGUGAAUUCAUCUCCGGGGGUAGAGCACUGUUUCGGCAAGGGGGUCAUCCCGACUUACCAACCCGAUGCAAACUGCGAAUACCGGAGAAUGUUAUCACGGGAGACACACGGCGGGUGCUAACGUCCGUCGUGAAGAGGGAAACAACCCAGACCGCCAGCUAAGGUCCCAAAGUCAUGGUUAAGUGGGAAACGAUGUGGGAAGGCCCAGACAGCCAGGAUGUUGGCUUAGAAGCAGCCAUCAUUUAAAGAAAGCGUAAUAGCUCACUGGUCGAGUCGGCCUGCGCGGAAGAUGUAACGGGGCUAAACCAUGCACCGAAGCUGCGGCAGCGACACUAUGUGUUGUUGGGUAGGGGAGCGUUCUGUAAGCCUGUGAAGGUGGCCUGUGAGGGUUGCUGGAGGUAUCAGAAGUGCGAAUGCUGACAUAAGUAACGAUAAAGCGGGUGAAAAGCCCGCUCGCCGGAAGACCAAGGGUUCCUGUCCAACGUUAAUCGGGGCAGGGUGAGUCGACCCCUAAGGCGAGGCCGAAAGGCGUAGUCGAUGGGAAACAGGUUAAUAUUCCUGUACUUGGUGUUACUGCGAAGGGGGGACGGAGAAGGCUAUGUUAGCCGGGCGACGGUUGUCCCGGUUUAAGCAUGUAGGCUGGUUGUCCAGGCAAAUCCGGAUAAUCAAGGCUGAGGUGUGAUGACGAGGCACUACGGUGCUGAAGUAACAAAUGCCCUGCUUCCAGGAAAAGCCUCUAAGCAUCAGGUAACAUUAAAUCGUACCCCAAACCGACACAGGUGGUCAGGUAGAGAAUACCAAGGCGCUUGAGAGAACUCGGGUGAAGGAACUAGGCAAAAUGGUGCCGUAACUUCGGGAGAAGGCACGCUGAUAUGUAGGUGAAGCGACUUGCUCGUGGAGCUGAAAUCAGUCGAAGAUACCAGCUGGCUGCAACUGUUUAUUAAAAACACAGCACUGUGCAAACACGAAAGUGGACGUAUACGGUGUGACGCCUGCCCGGUGCCGGAAGGUUAAUUGAUGGGGUUAGCGGUAACGCGAAGCUCUUGAUCGAAGCCCCAGUAAACGGCGGCCGUAACUAUAACGGUCCUAAGGUAGCGAAAUUCCUUGUCGGGUAAGUUCCGACCUGCACGAAUGGCGUAAUGAUGGCCAGGCUGUCUCCACCCGAGACUCAGUGAAAUUGAACUCGCUGUGAAGAUGCAGUGUACCCGCGGCAAGACGGAAAGACCCCGUGAACCUUUACUAUAGCUUGACACUGAACAUUGAGCCUUGAUGUGUAGGAUAGGUGGGAGGCUUUGAAGUGUGGACGCCAGUCUGCAUGGAGCCGACCUUGAAAUACCACCCUUUAAUGUUUGAUGUUCUAACGUUGGCCCGUAAUCCGGGUUGCGGACAGUGUCUGGUGGGUAGUUUGACUGGGGCGGUCUCCUCCUAAAGAGUAACGGAGGAGCACGAAGGUUGGCUAAUCCUGGUCGGACAUCAGGAGGUUAGUGCAAUGGCAUAAGCCAGCUUGACUGCGAGCGUGACGGCGCGAGCAGGUGCGAAAGCAGGUCAUAGUGAUCCGGUGGUUCUGAAUGGAAGGGCCAUCGCUCAACGGAUAAAAGGUACUCCGGGGAUAACAGGCUGAUACCGCCCAAGAGUUCAUAUCGACGGCGGUGUUUGGCACCUCGAUGUCGGCUCAUCACAUCCUGGGGCUGAAGUAGGUCCCAAGGGUAUGGCUGUUCGCCAUUUAAAGUGGUACGCGAGCUGGGUUUAGAACGUCGUGAGACAGUUCGGUCCCUAUCUGCCGUGGGCGCUGGAGAACUGAGGGGGGCUGCUCCUAGUACGAGAGGACCGGAGUGGACGCAUCACUGGUGUUCGGGUUGUCAUGCCAAUGGCACUGCCCGGUAGCUAAAUGCGGAAGAGAUAAGUGCUGAAAGCAUCUAAGCACGAAACUUGCCCCGAGAUGAGUUCUCCCUGACUCCUUGAGAGUCCUGAAGGAACGUUGAAGACGACGACGUUGAUAGGCCGGGUGUGUAAGCGCAGCGAUGCGUUGAGCUAACCGGUACUAAUGAACCGUGAGGCUUAACCUU